AUCUAGCUGUCGUCGUCGU
rnacentral:misc_RNA from 1 species